GACGAACGCUGGCGGCGUGCCUAACACAUGCAAGUCGAACGGGACCGGGGGCAACUUCGGUUCAGUGGCGGACGGGUGCGUAACACGUGAGGAACAUGACCUUCGGCGGGGGAUAGCCGGCCCAACGGCCGGGUAAUACCGCGUACGACCAUUCGGGGACAUCCCUGGGUGGUGAAAGCAGCAAUGCGCCGAUGGAGUGCCUCGCGGCCUAUCAGCUAGUUGGUGGGGUAACGGCCUACCAAGGCGACGACGGGUAGCUGGUCUGAGAGGAUGGCCAGCCACAUUGGGACUGAGACACGGCCCAGACUCCUACGGGAGGCAGCAGUGGGGAAUAUUGCGCAAUGGACGAAAGUCUGACGCAGCGACGCCGCGUGUGGGAUGAAGGUCUUCGGAUUGUAAACCACUGUCGGGAGGGACGAAUACGCCGCAAGGCGGGUGACGGUACCUCCAAAGGAAGCACCGGCUAACUCCGUGCCAGCAGCCGCAGUAACAC
rnacentral:rRNA from 1 species